rnacentral:tRNA from 1 species
UGGGGUAUCGCCAAGCGGUAAGGCACGGGACUUUGACUCCCGCAUUCGUAGGUUCAAAUCCUGCCACCCCAGCCA